GCAAGUAAAAGCCAUCAAUAACAAGACAAGAGUGUGAUCUAAGGGUAAAUCAUAGGAUCAUCAGAGCUCAAAGCAUAGUAUUUAUCAACAGUACUAGUAAUGUUAUAAUUGGAAGAUAUGGUCUCUUGAUAUCAUUAAGUGCACCUCACAAAUGAAUUUGAUAUGUUCAAGAUGCAAAUUUGAAGGCUUAAACGUCUAUUAAAAUAACAGGCAAAUGAUGGGUGAAGAACUCUCUGGGAUGAGUGUCAAAGAUUUGCAAAAUUUGGAGAAUCAAUUGGAAAUGAGUCUUCGGGGUGUUCGUAUGAAAAAGGUUUGAAGGCCUCUUCCCAUAUGCAAAGCUCAUUCUCUAUAAUUCCACUACUUGAAUAUAAAGCCCAUGCAUGUUACUCACCAUAAUUUUUUACUUUUGUAGGACCAAAUCUUAAUGGAUGAAAUAGAAGAAUUAAAUCGAAAGGUCAACACUGAAAACAAUGGCUGCUUAUUUUCAUUUUCAUUUUUGUUACUAUUCACACGGCUAAAUUUCAUCCUCCUUGUUGCAGGGAAACCAAAUUCACCAAGAAAAUAUGGAACUGUAUAAGAAGGUCUAUGGAACAAGGGAUGCAAAUGGAGCAAACAGAACUUCCCUUCUCUUAGAUGGUCUUGGCAUUGGAGAGGACUCACAUGAACCUGUCCAUCUCCAACUUAGCCAGCCACAGCAACAAAACUAUGAGACACCAACAAGAGCUACAAAACUGGGGUAUAUUAUCCUAUAAAUUAAAUAUUUCAAUCAUGAAAUACCAAUGUGCUUUUCCAAAAACAUGAUCCCAAACUUGUUUCCUCAAUAACUGCAGCAGACUACAACUGCAAUAACGAAGAAGAUGCAUCUCGAGUUGGAUGCUACUUGGUCUCUACCAAUAAAAUGGCCUGUGGCUAUAGAUUUACGUUUCUAUCUGUGAGGUAAGGUAUUAGAGCCACCAACAAUUCAGUAAGAAGAUACUUUGAAAUGAUCAAUGACACCAAAUUUAGCAUGUGUGUGAUGAGCAAUUAAACCAGCUACUUAUGUAACGAUAAGAUUAACUGUAAUAAAGAGUAGUUGAAAUGCAAUGCUUGUGUGACACAUUUUUUUAGCAAUCUUCAAGUCAUUUUCCUUCAAAAAACACACCAGCUAAAAGGUUUAUACCAGUUAUCUAGUUUAUAAAGAGGCUAUGAAUAAAUCGCCAUCUGGAUGAACAAAAAGAACCAACACUAGCAGGUACUAAAGUAAGAAUGUAACUUAGAGACAAGUAAGCGUAACUAUAUUAGUUUCUCAAACAAAAUACUCUUGAAACAAAACUGCAUAUUUCAACUCAAUUAAGAAGUUCAAAAAUGAGGUAAUGUAGCACCUACCUUCUUGUUCCCUUGGAAAAUUUUAAACAAACAAUUAUAAAAAGUGAUUGCAUGAUCUCUACUGCAAUAAAGAAGGUUAUAGCACACCAAGAUCAUUAAAUUAUAGAGAUAUGGUCUCCUUUUCAUUAACAGACAGAGAAUACUGCAAUUCAAAAUAAUAGUGAUAAAACAAUAUGCACAUAGAGGCUGGGAUAAUCAGAACAAACUUUGGCUCCAUGGAAGAAAACUUGAAUUACAUUGGGUUAAAAGGUACAGAUACUUGAGAAUAUGCAACACUGCUCUGUCUAAUGAUACAAAUGCAGCUCUAGAACCUGACUAAACUACUUAGCCCCCUAAAAAAUCAUUAAGCUAUCAGGAAGUAAAAACCCCUAGAGUCGUUAACAUUAAAGUUGGUAAUAUUCAAUAAUAAUUACCGGCAUAAUAAACAAGCACGGACCAGUUUUUAACAUCAUA